AUUACAAGCUGAAAUCAAGAUUGCCAGGAGAAAUAUCAACAGCCUCAGAUUUAGAGUGGUAUUAUCUGCAUAUCUGAGACUGUUGAUAUUUCUCCCUGCAACUCUAAUGGCAGAAAAUGAAGA
rnacentral:precursor_RNA from 8 species